rnacentral:rRNA from 1 species
UACAGAGGGGGCAAGCGUUGUUCGGAAUUACUGGGCGUAAAGGGCGCGUAGGCGGCCUUCUAAGUCGAGCGUGAAAUCCCCGGGCUCAACCCGGGAACUGCGUCCGAUACUGGGAGGCUUGAAUCCGGGAGAGGGAUGCGGAAUUCCAGGUGUAGCGGUGAAAUGCGUAGAUAUCUGGAGGAACACCGGUGGCGAAGGCGGCGUCCUGGACCGGCAUUGACGCUGAGGCGCGAAAGCCAGGGGAGCAAACGGG